GGAUAGCUCAGUUGGUUAAAGUGUGGUUCAGAUGACGCCAAGGUUGCAGGUGCAAUUCCUGUAUGGGACA